GAAGCUUUGAGGUGGAGACAGUCUACGAGGGGAGAGGAGAAAGAAGGAGUGGCAGCAGCAGAAACAGUGAAGAAGAGGCAGAGAGCUAGACAAAACAGGGAGACAGAUUUCAGGGCAGCAGAGAGGAGACUUUGCAAGCAGGAUUUAAUUUCCCAAGGGUGACUCCUACACAUAUAAAUUGUGAAGACUACAAACAAGCCCCCGUGAUCAUCUGCUCCUUUGUUCAGCUCAUCAUCCUACCAGAUCAGGCUGAUGAGUAAAACCGAGGCACCAAGGGAUUAAGUGAUUUGUCCAGAGCCACACAAUGACAGAGCUAUGAUCAGAACCGAGCACUCUGGAUCCCAAGGCUUUUAUCUACAAUGUGAAGGUGGUCCAUUCUAUUUCUGGGAUAUUCUAAUUCAGCUCGGGCAACGCCAGGAGUGUUUCUGCAGAGAUGUCUUUAUCGAGGACUCCGAAGACAAGAGGAGGCAAGGACGUGAAGAAG